UNUGACUUGAGUGCAGAAGGGGAGAGUGGAAUUCCAUGUGUAGCGGUGAAAUGCGUAGAUAUAUGGAGGAACACCAGUGGCGAAAGCGGCUCUCUGGUCUGUCACUGACGCUGAGGCUCGAAAGCGUGGGUAGCGAACAGGAUUAGAUACCCUGGUAGUNCACGCCGUAAACGAUGAGUGCUAGGUGUUAGGCCCNUUCCGGGGCUUAGUGCCGGAGCUAACGCAAUAAGCACUCCGCCUGGGGAGUACGACCGCAAGGUUGAAACUCAAAGGAAUUGACGGGGGCCCGCACAAGCGGUGGAGCAUGUGGUUUAAUUCGAAGCAACGCGAAGAACCUUACCAGGUCUUGACAUCCCGAUGCUAUUCUUAGAGAUAGGAAGUUACUUCGGUACAUCGGAGACAGGUGGUGCAUGGUUGUCGUCAGCUCGUGUCGUGAGAUGUUGGGUUAAGUCCCGCAACGAGCGCAACCCUUAUUGUUAGUUGCCAUCAUUAAGUUGGGCACUCUAGCGAGACUGCCGGUAAUAAACCGGAGGAAGGUGGGGAUGACGUCAAAUCAUCAUGCCCCUUAUGACCUGGGCUACACACGUGCUACAAUGGUCGGUACAACGAGUUGCGAGCCGGUGACGGCAAGCUAAUCUCUGAAAGCCGAUCUCAGUUCGGAUUGGAGGCUGCAACUCGCCUCCAUGAAGUCGGAAUCGCUAGUAAUCGCGGAUCAGCACGCCGCGGUGAAUACGUUCCCGGGCCUUGUACACACCGCCCGUCACACCACGAGAGUUUGUAACACCCGAAGUCGGUGAGGUANCCUUUUAGGG
rnacentral:rRNA from 1 species